rnacentral:sRNA from 1 species
CCGGGAAGAACGCCGAGCUCUGCCACUUCCCGGAGCCGUUCGCACAUUCCGUCUGGCAGAGGCGGGGGAACCACUUUCGGCCUUCUGUUGUCUGGGAGGCCUUGGGGUUAAGCAGCCUGGCUCCGCCAGGCGGCCGGAUACUUUCCAUCCGAACCCGACAGCUCACCUCGUAGGCAUUGGGAGAGGCUAC